AUUGAACGCUGGCGGCAGGCUUAACACAUGCAAGUCGAGCGGAGCGAGGGUGCUUGCACCUUAGCUUAGCGGCGGACGGGUGAGUAAUGCUUAGGAAUCUGCCUAUUAGUGGGGGACAACAUUCCGAAAGGAAUGCUAAUACCGCAUACGCCCUACGGGGGAAAGCAGGGGAUCUUCGGACCUUGCGCUAACAGAGGAGCCUAAGUCGGAUUAGCUAGUUGGUGGGGUAAAGGCCUACCAAGGCGACGAUCUGUAGCGGGUCUGAGAGGAUGAUCCGCCACACUGGGACUGAGACACGGCCCAGACUCCUACGGGAGGCAGCAGUGGGGAAUAUUGGACAAUGGGCGGAAGCCUGAUCCAGCCAUGCCGCGUGUGUGAAGAAGGCCUUUUGGUUGUAAAGCACUUUAAGCGAGGAGGAGGCUACUUAGAUUAAUACUCUGGGAUAGUGGACGUUACUCGCAGAAUAAGCACCGGCUAACUCUGUGCCAGCCGCCGCGGUAA
rnacentral:rRNA from 1 species